CGCUCUAGUUGGAACACGCUUUUGUCAAACAUGUCUUCUGAAAGGCAAAAGCACGACUACCAUCUGAGGAACAAAGACAAAUCCUCAAUGGUACCCGAUAGGGCACAAACUGAGCCUCCUCAGCAAAACAGGCAAGCUGAGGGGUUUGAGGAGGCUCAAACUGAUUUGCCCCCUCGGACAUCCAUCCCUCCCUCUCUAGAGGCGAGGUUGAUUAACUUCAUGGAUACCAUGGAACAAAGAGUUAACAAC
rnacentral:lncRNA from 1 species